GACGUAGGGCGCGAGCGUUGUCCGGAUUUAUUGGGCGUAAAGAGCUCGUAGGCGGCUCGUUGCGUCGGCUGUGAAAACCCGCAGCUCAACUGUGGGCUUGCAGCUGAUACGGGCGGGCUGGAGUUCGGUAGGGGAGACUGGAAUUCCUGGUGUAGCGGUGAAAUGCGCAGAUAUCAGGAGGAACACCGGUGGCGAAGGCGGAUCUCUGGGCCUUACCUGACGCUCAGGCGCGAAAGCUAGGGGAGCGAACAGG
rnacentral:rRNA from 1 species